rnacentral:rRNA from 1 species
GAUGAACGCUGGCGGCGUGCCUAACACAUGCAAGUCGAGCGAUUCUCUUCGGAGAAGAGCGGCGGACGGGUGAGUAACGCGUGGGUAACCUGCCCUGUACACACGGAUAACAUACCGAAAGAUAUGCUAAUACGGGAUAAAGUGCUUUUAUCGCAUGGUAGAAGUAUCAAAGCUCCGGCGGUACAGGAUGGACCCGCGUCUGAUUAGCUAGUUGGUAAGGUAACGGCUUACCAAGGCGACGAUCAGUAGCCGACCUGAGAGGGUGAUCGGCCACAUUGGAACUGAGACACGGUCCAAACUCCUACGGGAGGCAGCAGUGGGGAAUAUUGCACAAUGGGCGAAAGCCUGAUGCAGCAACGCCGCGUGAGCGAUGAAGGCCUUCGGGUCGUAAAGCUCUGUCCUCAAGGAAGAUAAUGACGGUACUUGAGGAGGAAGCCCCGGCUAACUACGUGCCAGCCGCCGCAGUAACAC